AUAUUAACAAAAAUAACAAAAAAUUCAUUGUCAGUUGUAGAGUUAUAUUAG
rnacentral:guide_RNA from 1 species